rnacentral:rRNA from 1 species
GUGUCAGCCGCCGCGGUAAAACCAGCACCUCAAGUGGUCAGGAGGAUUAUUGGGCCUAAAGCAUCCGUAGCCUGUUCUAUAAGUUUGCGGUUAAAUCUAUACGCUCAACGUAUAGGCUGCCGUAAAUACUGUAGAACUAGGGAGUGGGAGAGGUAGACGGUACUCGAUAGGAAGGGGUAAAAUCCUUUGAUCUAUUGAUGACCACCUGUGGCGAAGGCGGUCUACCAGAACACGUUCGACGGUGAGGGAUGAAAGCUGGGGGAGCAAACCGGAUUAGAUACCCGGGUAGUCCCAGCUGUAAACGAUGCAGACUCGAUGAUGCAAUGGCAUAGAGCUAUUGCAGUAUCGCAGGGAAGCCGUUAAGUUUGCCGCCUGGGAAGUACGUACGCAAGUAUGAAACUUAAAGGAAUUGGCGGGGGAGCACCACAAGGGGUGAAGCCUGCGGUUCAAUUGGAGUCAACGCCAGAAAUCUUACCCGGAGAGACAGCAGAAUGAAGGUCAGGCUGAAGACCUUACCAGACAAGCUGAGAGGUGGUGCAUGGCCGUCGUCAGCUCGUGCCGUGAGAUGUCCUGUUAAGUCAGGUAACGAGCGAGAUCCCUGCCACUAGUUGCUAUCAUUACUCUCAGGAGUAGUGGGGCGAAUUAGUGGGACCGCCACAGUUAAUGUGGAGGAAGGAAGGGGCCACGGCAGGUCAGUAUGCCCCGAAACUCUGGGGCCACACGCGGGCUGCAAUGNUAGUGACAAUGGGCUCCUAACUCGAAAGAGAGAGGCAAUCCACAAACACUACCACAGUUAUGACUGAGGGCUGUAACUCGCCCUCACGAAUAUGGAAUCCCUAGUAACUGCGUGUCAUUACCGCGCGGUGAAUACGUCCCUGCUCCUUGCACACACCGCCCGUC